rnacentral:rRNA from 1 species
UGGGGGCCGUCUUACACAUGCAGUCGACGACCUAUCGGGUUAGUGGCGGACGGGUGAGUAACGCGUGGGAAUCUGCCCUCAGGAGGGGGAUAACGGCUGGAAACGGCCGCUAAUACCCCAUAUGCCGAGAGGUGAAAUGAAUUUCGCCUGAGGAUGAGCCCGCGUCUGAUUAGCUAGUUGGUGAGGUAAUGGCUCACCAAGGCUUCGAUCAGUAGCUGGUCUGAGAGGAUGAUCAGCCACACUGGGACUGAGACACGGCCCAGACUCCUACGGGAGGCAGCAGUGGGGAAUUUUCCGCAAUGGGCGAAAGCCUGACGGAGCAACGCCGCGUGAGGGAUGAAGGCCUCUGGGCUGUAAACCUCUUUUCUCAAGGAAGAAGAUCUGACGGUACUUGAGGAAUAAGCCACGGCUAAUUCCGUGCCAGCAGCCGCGGUAAUACGGGAGUGGCAAGCGUUAUCCGGAAUUAUUGGGCGUAAAGCGUCCGCAGGCGGCCUUUCAAGUCUGCUGUUAAAGCGUGGAGCUUAACUCCAUCAAGGCAGUGGAAACUGUUGGGCUUGAGUGUGGUAGGGGCAGAGGGAAUUCCCGGUGUAGCGGUGAAAUGCGUAGAUAUCGGGAAGAACACCAGUGGCGAAGGCGCUCUGCUGGGCCAUAACUGACGCUCAUGGACGAAAGCCAGGGGAGCGAAAGGGAUUAGAUACCCCUGUAGUCCUGGCCGUAAACGAUGAACACUAGGUGUCGGGGGAAUCGACCCCCUCGGUGUCGUAGCCAACGCGUUAAGUGUUCCGCCUGGGGAGUACGCACGCAAGUGUGAAACUCAAAGGAAUUGACGGGGGCCCGCACAAGCGGUGGAGUAUGUGGUUUAAUUCGAUGCAACGCGAAGAACCUUACCAGGAUUUGACAUCCUGCGAACCUCUAAGAGAUUGGAGGGUGCCUUCGGGAACGCAGUGACAGGUGGUGCAUGGCUGUCGUCAGCUCGUGUCGUGAGAUGUUGGGUUAAGUCCCGCAACGAGCGCAACCCACGUUUUUAGUUGCCAGCAUUUAGUUGGGCACUCUAGAGAGACCGCCGGUGAUAAACCGGAGGAAGGUGUGGAUGACGUCAAGUCAUCAUGCCCCUUACAUCCUGGGCUACACACGUACUACAAUGCUACGGACAAAGGGCAGCAAACUCGCGAGAGCAAGCAAAUCCCAUAAACCGUGGCUCAGUUCAGAUCGUAGGCUGCAACUCGCCUACGUGAAGUAGGAAUCGCUAGUAAUCGCAGGUCAGCAUACUGCGGUGAAUACGUUCCCGGGCCUUGUACACACCGCCCGUCACACCAUGGAUAGUUGGCCACGCCCGAAGUCGUUACUCCAACCCUUGUGGAGGAGUACGCCGAAG